GAUGAACGCUGGCGGCGUGCCUAAUACAUGCAAGUCGAGCGGACGGACGAGGAGCUUGCUUCUCUGAUGUUAGCGGCGGACGGGUGAGUAACACGUGGAUACCCUACCUAUAAGACUGGGAUCACUUCGGGAAACCGGCGCUAAUCCCGGAUGAUAUUUUGCACCGCAUUGUUCAAUGGUGAAAGACGGUCUUGGUGUCACUUAUAGCUGGAUCCGCGCUGCAUUAGCUAGUUGGUAAGGUAACCGCUUACCAAGGCAACGAUGCAUAGCCGACCGGAGAGAGGGAUCGCCGACACUGGAACUGAGACGCCGACCUUACGCCUAAGGGAGGCAGCAGUAGGGAAUCUGCCGCAGUGGGCGGAAGCCUGACGGAGCAACGCCGCGUGAGUUAUGAAGGCCUUCGGAUCGUAAAACUGGGUUAUUAGGUAUGAACAGCUUUGUCAGUAACUGUGCACAGCGUGACGGUACCGAAUCAGAAAGCCACGGCUAACUACGUG
rnacentral:rRNA from 1 species